rfam:Brachypodium distachyon strain Bd21 chromosome 4, whole genome shotgun sequence.
GAUUGGCAGGAAUGAUGAACCAAUUAGAUGUACGAAGUCACCUUAUGAGCUACAACCUUUUGAGGCAUAAAUUCUGUCUGACCAAGCCAAUC